GUCGUAAAAACCCUAUUUGUAAACAACCAGUCCUUUAACUAAGCGCUACGUCAUAAACACGGCGCGCUUGGAAGACCACGAUGUCAUCUUCCUUCUGUCAGGAGGAUCCCAGUGAAGCUACAGGAUCUUCAUUAACGUCAACAACUUGGACCGAACGGUUUGUUUUGCUUGAUGAAGAGCAGGAAGGGCAGCCUGGAGAGAAAGAGAAGCCGGGUUGAGCCCACUACCAUCAUCCACGUACCACGAGGAAGAUGAGGGAGAGAAAUGAUCCUACCAUUAAAGAGACUGAAAAGAACGUUGAGAACAUCACCACUCUACAGGAAGACACAGUCCAGUAAUGGGUGUCAGAAGUUCAGUAGUGAACGACAGGAAGGACUGAUGCAUUUUCUGAGACGGGACGUGAGGGCCUACUCUGCGUGCUCAGAGUUCAAGCCCAGCAGGCUGCAGCGGUCCUGACAUAUUCCGGAACAGCAGCACAGUCUUUAGAUGACUCCUCUGAAGAUGAAAACAUGGCGAGUUCUUCUCAAGAGAAGCAGUACAGGUGUGCCUCAGCUCCACGGUCCCUCCUGCAACCUCCGCUCCUGAUGCUAACCUCAUGUCUCCAUCACACCAAGCAGCAGACCUGGAUUGACAGACCUUUCUCCAGAGCUGCCCCCUCCCUCUGAAACCCCCCUCUCCAAAACACUAUUUGUGUAGUUUUUUAAGUCUU